rnacentral:lncRNA from 13 species
AUGAGAAAUGACUAUCACCUCAUACGAUCCUUGGAGAAUGGUAGGAAGUCCUGGUCACACAUGGUGUGGACUCCUUCAGAGGCUGUUGAAACCCUCCAGAGUGUGUUAUGGCCAUGGAAGAAAGGACAGUCUUCAUCUUGGGAGAGUCUUAGAGAUGGCAGGGAGCCCCUUGACAUGUGGAAUGUGGUCUCCUUUGGAUGCUGGUGGAUCCCUCAGGUGGUCUGGCAUGGAAGAAGGCCAGAGGCUGUGAUGGAUGAUCUUUGUCAUGGGAGAUGCCUGGAGAUGUCAGGGAGCCCCAGGCCAUGUGUGGCACAUGUGGUGUGGCUUCUCCAGGUGCUGGUGGAUCCCUCAGGACGGUGUGGUUGCCAUGAAAACUCACGCAAAUAUGGAUUUAUAGAAGAUUUACGUUUUCAUUCACACUUGAAGAUGUGA